rnacentral:misc_RNA from 1 species
CGGUCCUUACCGUCACCACCGCAUACAAGUACACACACACACACACACAUCCAUGGGCAGUGAGGUGGAGUGUUCGCUAAAGCACGUGUUCGUUUCUUUUUAGUUUUACCGCUACGUCUGUCCUCCCCGUCCUCCUUCCCGUGAGGCGUUUGUGGGCGCCCGGAGAGCACCUUCUGCGCGGCAAGCUAGGCCAUCUUUUUGUGCGUAGGCACAUGCAUGUCGGCGGCUCGACAACUACGGAAACACCGACUCGUGUGAAAGGUGUGCAGAGUCCGGAGCGGGCGUCGUGCCCCUGCGGCCAUGGACUCCGACGAACAUCUCGCCUGCCGCGGCACAUGCGGGCAGGCGAUUCAUCGACGCCCGAGGUGGCAUCGAUGGAGAUGGACGAUGCGGGCAGCGACCCCCCUUCCCCGGGCAGCGGCGUUGUGAGGCGUGCGCCAAGGUGCAGAGGCGCUGCUGCUGUGCACAGGCACUGUGAAGCGGAGCUGGCACGGUGCAUGGCGCGACCGAGUCCUGUGGGCGCCGAUGUGGAGUGCCGCGGCACGAGGCGACUGAGGGCGAAGCGUGGCGCACAGGCAGAGCGCGCGUGGCCUGCGAGGGCCGUGGCGUGCAGCUGGCCAGCUUCCUCCUCGGGCUGGCCCGGCGUCCGUGCGCAUAGCCGACCCCCUGCUGCCCGCGCGACCGACGCCACCGCCUCCGCCCUGGAGCAGGACCGUGGACGUGGACGGCGUGGAUGGAGGCGCGCGGUCCGGCCGAGCCGGUGUUGCGCCGGUGGCGCAGCGGGUGUGCGAGGAAGAGGGCCGAGGAGGGACAGGAGGAGCCCGUGAGACGCACGGCCCGCCUCGACGGCAUGACGGCUCGCGCUAGAGGGCCCGGAUGCAGCCGUGGCGCGGCAGGGGCAGGAGAGAGGUGUGGCUGUGCGCGUAUGUCUGCUGGCGUGCUCGUGGUCAAAUGGGCACGUGGGCAAAAACGCUUUGGUUAAGCUGGCUGUCAUAAUAAGCUACGCGCAGUCUCAGGGAUUUCGGAGGAGGUUUGUCUCAGUGCGCGGCUCUCGCGGAGUGGGGCGGUGUCACACAAACAAGUGCUGGUUGAUGUACCCUAGUGUGUCCUUUGAAUUGUGCCGCUGGGACGUCCAUAAAUGGGAUUCCCGUAUUCGAGCGUGUCCCUUAAGCUGUGUAUUGUUCUCCUCGUUUCUUCCCCUGAAACGCUUACGUAAUCUGUUUUGUGUUG